rnacentral:rRNA from 1 species
GACGAAGGGGGCUAGCGUUGUUCGGAAUUACUGGGCGUAAAGCGCGUGUAGGCGGUUGCCCAAGUCGGGUGUGAAAGCCUUGAGCUCAACUCAAGAAACGCACUCGGUACUGGGUGACUAGAGGACCGGAGAGGAUAGUGGAAUUCCCAGUGUAGUGGUGAAAUACGUAGAGAUUGGGAAGAACACCAGUGGCGAAGGCGGCUAUCUGGACGGUUUCUGACGCUAAGACGCGAAAGCGUGGGGAGCAAACAGG